rnacentral:rRNA from 1 species
AUUGAACGCUGGCGGCAGGCCUAACACAUGCAAGUCGAACGAGUGGCGGACGGGUGAGUAAUGUCUGGGAAUCUGCCUGAUGGAGGGGUAUAACUACUGAAAACGGUAGCUUAUACCGCAUACUCUCGGAUGUGCCCAGAUGGGAUUAGCUAGUAGGUGGGGUAAAGGCUCACCUAGGCGACGAUCCCGAGCUGGUCUGAGAGGAUGACAAGCCACACUGGAACUGAGACACGGUCCAGACUCCUACGGGAGGCAGCAGUGGGGAAUAUUGCACAAUGGGCGCAAGCCUGAUGCAGCCAUGCCGCGUGUGUGAAGAAGGCCUUCGGGUUGUAAAGUACUUUCAGCGGGGAGGCGUUACCCGCAGAAGAAGCACCGGCUAACUCCGUGCCAGCCGCCGCGGUAAUAC